rnacentral:rRNA from 1 species
UACCAGCACCCCGAGUGGUCGGGACGAUUAUUGGGCCUAAAGCAUCCGUAGCCGGUUUUACAAGUCCCCCGUUAAAUCCAGCUGCUUAACAGAUGGGCUGCGGAGGAUACUAUAAGACUAGGAGGCAGGAGAGGCAAGCGGUACUCAGUGGGUAGGGGUAAAAUCCGUUGAUCCAUUGAAGACCACCAGUGGCGAAGGCGGCUUGCCAGAAUGCGCUCGACGGUGAGGAAUGAAAGCUGGGGGAGCAAACCGG